ACGAACGCUGGCGGCGUGCCUAAUACAUGCAAGUAGAACGCUGAAGGAGGAGCUUGCUUCUCUGGAUGAGUUGCGAACGGGUGAGUAACGCGUAGGUAACCUGCCUGGUAGCGGGGGAUAACUAUUGGAAACGAUAGCUAAUACCGCAUAAUAGUAGAUGUUGCAUGACAUUUGCUUAAAGGUGCAAUUGCAUCACUACCAGAUGGACCUGCGUUGUAUUAGCUAGUUGGUGGGGUAACGGCUCACCAAGGCGACGAUACAUAGCCGACCUGAGAGGGUGAUCGGCCACACUGGGACUGAGACACGGCCCAGACUCCUACGGGAGGCAGCAGUAGGGAAUCUUCGGCAAUGGACGGAAGUCUGACCGAGCAACGCCGCGUGAGUGAAGAAGGUUUUCGGAUCGUAAAGCUCUGUUGUAAGAGAAGAACGAGUGUGAGAGUGGAAAGUUCACACUGUGACGGUAUCUUACCAGAAAGGGACGGCUAACUACGUG
rnacentral:rRNA from 1 species